CAGCCGCCGCGGGAAUACGAAGGGGGCUAGCGUUGCUCGGAAUCACUGGGCGUAAAGGGUGCGUAGGCGGGUCUUUAAGUCAGGGGUGAAAUCCUGGAGCUCAACUCCAGAACUGCCUUUGAUACUGAAGAUCUUGAGUUCGGGAGAGGUGAGUGGAACUGCGGGUGUAGAGGUGAAAUUCGUAGAUAUUCGCAAGAACACCAGUGGCGAAGGCGGCUCACUGGCCCGAUACUGACGCUGAGGCACGAAAGCGUGGGGAGCAAACAGGAUUAGAUACCCCAGUAGUCCCUGUCUCUUAUAC
rnacentral:rRNA from 1 species